rnacentral:lncRNA from 1 species
CUGCAACGCGGACUAACAUCCCACGCUUCUGGCACUCGGCUCCAAAGUAUGCGCCAACACCUGGUAACAUCAGUUGAGAAUGGUGUAAGAAUCUUAGUAAGGUAAUAAUGAGUUUAGGAGACUCUUUUUGUUUUUGUGUUUUUUACCCCAUUCUGGUGGAAAUAGUUCGUUUGGUGACUUGUUGUCAGUAAACUCAGUCCCAAGAAUCAAACCCGUUCCUCUUAUCUGAAAAUUAUCACAAAAAUGCCCAACUGUUCAAUCAAAUACAUGAAAAGAAAAGCUGGUGAGUAAUCAAUCAAGAGAAACUAUACCUCUCCAAUAAUAGGACUAGUCUUGGCAAAAGCUUUAAGACUGCUGAUUUUGAUUAUUAAGCGUAAUGAGACUAAAAGAGUCGUGAAGCGAGUCGGAAAGACUGCCAAACAUUUAUCAACAGCAGCAGUUUAAGGGCCUAUGCUACCAUCCGCAAACGCAGUUUUGGCGAUCGGUAGCGGUUGACAGCGUUUCGAAACAAUCAUACAACCCGCCACAAAUCGUUUUAAAACGUUCCGAACCUCCUAAAAUUAAAAGUUGGUUUCAGCUAGCGUUUGCGGUUGUGGACGAAUAAAUAGAUAUAAAUUUAUUUUAAAAAAUAUUUUAAAAUUUAAAAUAAGGAUAUUAUAAUAUAUAUAUAUAUAUACACAUUUUAUUUAUUAAUUAAAAUUCACAAACAGUAUCAUAAAUAAACAUAAUAUUAUUAUAAAUCAUAUUAUAUUAAUAAUCAUUAUAUUUUAUCACAAUAGUAUGUUUUUAUAUUUUUAUAAUGUUAUAAUAUGUUAAUAUUGGUAAUUUAUUAUUAAACUGUUGCAAUACCUCAUAAUCAGCCAGUCACAAAUAUUCCGCAAACGCAACAAUAUUUAAACGUUGUGCUAGUUGUACAAAACGCUUAAUAACGCUUGGAACCGCAACCACCCGCAUCCGCAAACUUCCAUAUCCGCAAUCGCAACCGUUGCGUUUGAACCAGUGAGGACUUAAUGUGUGUGGUGUCUAAAAUGUAUAUGUUGUAUUGAAAGAUGGUCUUAUUGAAAAAUGCAUAUUACGUUUUCUGUGUAAAUGAAAAGGACAAAAUAGACUAUUAGAGCCUGAGAGACUGUCCCCUAAAACUGGAACAUGCUCAAAUUGGGACGACAAACAGUACGAUUGAUAAAUUUCAUGCUAAGUGCCGAGACAAAUUUGUAGCACUUGGUUUUCUUUCUUUCUUACACAACAAUAUGAGAGAACAAACUUCGUAUACAUCUUCACGGAUAUAAAUAAAUUAAUUUAUGUCGAAAUAAGAGUUUAUCCGGAAAAAUAUUCUUUGAGAAACUUUUUUUACGAAACAAAAACAAAACAGAUUUCUGUAAAAUUAAAUUCGAUUUUUAUUUUACCAAAACUCUUUUGUAAAAUGAAUCAAAACAGUUUUACAAAAAAAGCUUUUGUAAACUAAAUUUAGAAAGAUUUUACGGAAAGCCUUUCGUAAAAUGAAUCAAAACAUUUUUACAAAACAAACAUCCGUAAAACUAACUUUGAAAUAAAAUAAUAACAACACACCCAAUGAGGGAGAAAAAUAAAAAGAAGGGAACCGGUCACAAAAUUUGUCAGACAAAUAGCUCAAGAAUCGUAAAUUCACCUCAUCGAUCUCUUCAGGUGAGAUGAUGAGCGGUGGAGACAUCAUUAUGCUAUCACCUGCAACGCGGACUAACAUCCCACGCUUCUGGCACUCGGCUCCAAAAUAUGCGCCAACACCUGUAAACAUUAGUUGACAAUGGUGUAGUGAUCUUAGUAAGUUAAAUGAGUUUAGGAGACUCUUUUUGUUUUUGUGUUUUUUACCCCAUUCUGGUGGAAAUAGUUCGUUUGGUGACUUGUUGUCUGUAAACUCAGUCCCGAGAAUCAAAC